rnacentral:lncRNA from 1 species
GCAAAAAAAUAAUAUACAAAAUCUCUAAAGUCUCUGGCGGCGGUGGCGUAGAAGAAACCGGAGGCUGCCAAGAAGCUCCCAAGGACGAAGGCAGCAAUCGGCGGAGAGUAGACAAAGAAGGGGACGAAGAAGGGCGUGGAAACGUACAAGAUCUACAUCUUCAAGGUGCUUCGUUUUUAUAUUUCCUAUGUUCUGUAAUCAUGUUUGUUAAAUCCUCUAAUCGUUUGCCUAACGAAUCAUUUGGGUCGGAAAAAAAAAAAACUCUCACUCGCCAGAUCUGGUGACGACGUCGAUGCAAGGCAACUAUCGUUUGAUCUCCUAUUUUUUUCUUUUAUGUUAAUUGCUCUGGUAUUGAAAAUUGGGAAAAAUUAUUAUUAUUGUGAAUUUAAGGUUUAUUUGGUUCGAGGGAAGAAAUCAACCGUUAGGGUUUUGUUUUUUUUUCUUGGUGAAAGGAUCAUUUUUUUUGGAAUCAAGUGUUUAAUUUUGUGGGUACUGUGCCUUUCAAUUGGCUCCUAUCUAGCUUGAUUGUUGCAUUUUUGAGAUCUGAAAAUUGUCGGAUUUUUUUGGUGUAGAAGAAGCAAAUUUUAAUUUUUAUUCUGUGUCUCAAAGUGGAGAAAAUUUCUCGAAAAAAAUUAUGUAAGUGUGCAUUUCGAUAUGUAUUUGUUGAUUUAUAAUGUAAAUGUCUUAAACUGAAGUUGAUUUUUUGUCACAGGUCUCGGUGUUUAGGUCUCGGUGUUUGAACAACUUCUAUGCACUAAGUUUUUGUCCAGAGGACAUGGUGUUCGUCAAUUCAAAAUAGUUUGUUUGCAACUUAUAAAUCGGAGUUGUUGCCGUAUAGAAAAGUG